UUUGGCUAACCGCGAAUGAUUUUGGCGGCUUAAUGAAUCGUUAUGUCAAAGAGACAAAGAAAAUUACUUUUCAAUGAAUAACUACAUUAGGGAAGAACUCAAAGCAGCGAUUGUUUUGUCUUAUCAGUCAACAACAUUCAACAGCAAAAAACGUCGGAUCACAGACAGAUCGAUACGAUAAAAAUCAAAGAAAAAGAUCUAUAAUGUAACAACCAAGACGGAUGUGUAUAGAAUGAUAAGUUAGUGUUCCUGAACGAAGACUAAUUAUAUAAAUUGUUCAGGAUCAGGAUGUGCAAACUCAGUUAAAGGACGUGAUUUUACGAAGACGGCAGAAUGAAACACGAAAGAUUAUCUCUCCUCUUUGUGGCUGUGCUAGCCUUGUGCUGUCUUCACCGUGGUCAGGCGCAAUUUGUUAGAGGUUUAGGAGUAUUUUCAGGCGGAUCAUACGGCUCUCCUUACGGUGGUUAUCGACACGGUGGUUAUCGAUACGGGGGUUAUCCAUACGGUGGCUAUCCAUACGGGGGAUAUCGAUACGGCGGCUAUCCGUACAGAGGAUAUCGAUACGGCGGUUAUCCACGGGGCGGAUAUUUCCGUAGACACAGAUUUGGCGGUUAUGGACGCUUUCCUUUUUAUUAAACAAAUGGAAAAUAUCUCAUUACACUUACAAAGAAAAUUUGCAAAGUAUAAAACUUCUUCUUCCAAUAAGUGCAAAAAUCAAAAGAUUGUAUGUAGUGUAGCCUUACCGUGACAACUAAAUGACAAGAUUCUUCAAGGACUCAUCUGUAAGGCCCUGUGCAGUUAUUCAUCUAGACUGCAAACACUACUAGUUCCAUGGAAAUUCUAGAAUGAACUACUAAAACUUUUGAUUGGUCAGCAAAAUAAACUUUUGAUUGGACAGCAAUCAAAAUAUAUUAGUUUAUAAAUACAUAGCGAAAUCAAUUAUGUGUUUGGAGCCGUUGUAAUAAAAUUGCGUUUUAGCAGUUGCACAAAUCUUGGAUGUCUUUACAGAUGUAUACAGUAUAACAUACAAAUAUGACACAAUGGAAUAAAUAAGUACAAGUAGUAUUUACGGCUGUUACAAUAUAUUCCAAUUAAUUGAAUGUAGUAGAUAAAAAUGACAAAUUUAAAUAGAAUAAUCGACAUGUCCAAAUGUUUUGUUGAAAAAUGUUUAUGAAAUAUU